ACGCGUAUAGAACCUACCUUUUACAGAGGAAUAGCCUUUAGAAAUGAAGAUUAAUGCCUCAUGGUAUUGUAGACUGGCAUCAGUUUAUAAUUAAAGAUUUAUCGGUAAAAGAUGGCUAUGCGUCCUAUUAGUUAGUUGGUAAGGUAACGGCUUACCAAGACAGCGAUAGGUAGGGGUCCUGAGAGGGAGAUCCCCCACACUGGUACUGAGACACGGACCAGACUCCUACGGGAGGCAGCAGUGAGGAAUAUUGGACAAUGGAGGAGACUCUGAUCCAGCCAUGCCGCGUGUAGGAAGAAUGCCCUAUGGGUUGUAAACUACUUUUAUACAGGAAGAAACACUGGUAUGUAUACCAGCUUGACGGUAC
rnacentral:rRNA from 1 species